rnacentral:sRNA from 1 species
UAGUAGUGACACCCGGGUUCAGGUCCCCAA